rnacentral:rRNA from 1 species
ACCUACGGGUGAAAGUGGGGGACCUUAGGGCCUCACGCAGAAAGAUGAGCCGACGACCGAUUAGCUAGUUGGUGGGGUAAAGGCUCACCAAGGCGACGAUCGGUAGCUGGUCUGAGAGGAUGAUCAGCCACACUGGGACUGAGACACGGCCCAGACUCCUACGGGAGGCAGCAGUGGGGAAUAUUGGACAAUGGGCGCAAGCCUGAUCCAGCCAUGCCGCGUGUGUGAAGAAGGCCUUCGGGUUGUAAAGCACUUUUGUUCGGAAAGAAAUCUUCCAGCUUAAUACGUUGGGAGGAUGACGGUACCGGAAGAAUAAGCACCGGCUAACUUCGUGCCAGCAGCCGCGGUAAUACGAAGGGUGCAAGCGUUACUCGGAAUUACUGGGCGUAAAGCGUGCGUAGGCGGUUUGUUAAGUCUGAUGUGAAAUCCCCGGGCUCAACCUGGGACGUGCAUUGGAAACUGGCGAUCUAGAGUACGGUAGAGGGUGGUGGAAUUCCCGGUGUAGCAGUGAAAUGCGUAGAGAUCGGGAGGAACACUCGUGGCGAAGGCGGCCACCUGGACCAGUACUGACGCUGAGGCACGAAAGCGUGGGGAGCAAACAGGAUUAGAUACCCU